rnacentral:rRNA from 1 species
UGGUGGAGUGAUUUGUCAGGUUAAUUCCCUUAACGAACGAGACCUUAACCUACUAAAAUAGACGCGCUCUAUUCUUUAGGCGUUGUUCUUCUUAGAGGGACUAUGUGCAAAACACAUGGAAGUUUGAGGCAAUAACA